AGAUUCUUACUGAACUUAUGCAAAUAACUGUGUUGCCAUGAAAAUACUUAUUCACUAAGAGUUUCCAAAUUCUGGAGGGAUAAGAAUCCUGUAAUCAGCACCAUGUGAAUGAGCCAGGGCUGGCCUGCUGGAGGACGGACAUCACACGCCCAGCUAAUACCACUGACCAUCCUGACAGCCAGCCAUCUACCAAACACGUGAGGCCAAAAAUUGCCAGCUAACCACAAAGUCAAUGAACCCAAGUGAUACCACACGGAGCAGAGAUGAACCAUCUCGGCUGCUCCCAGCCUGAAUGUCAUAAUUUAGGGCAAGUCACAUAAUUAUGAGAAAAUCAAUGGAUGUUGUUUAUGCCACUAAGUUUUCGGGUGAUUCCCUUUUUUUUUCAAGUGUUUUUUUUUUUUUUUUUCCUGAGGAAGAUUCGCUCUGAGCUAACACCUGUGGCCAAUCUUCCUCUUUUUGGUUGAGGAAUAUUCACCCUGAGCUAACAUCUUGCCAGUCUUCCUCUAUUUCAUAUGUGGGUCACCGGCACAGAAUGGCUGCUGACAAGUGGUGCAGUUCUGAGUCCAGGAACUGAACCUGGGCCGCCAAAGCAGAGGGUGCCAAACUUAACCAGUAGGCCACGGGGCUGGCCUCUAGGGUGACUUCUUACACUGCACAAACUGGCGGCUGCAUGGGUCUAGCACUGAGCCUGUUGUCUUCUGUGCUAGACGAGCUCUCUGCUCCUAGACUCCAGUCGCCAGGUGGCGGAGAGGAGAGCCGAGCCACUUGCUGAGAGGAGGCAGGAACUGUGGCUUUGUCUCCUGGGGUUGUGAGACUAUAAAUGGGAUGUAAGUGCUGUCACAGUUAACUUGCUAAAACUGAUCUUGACAGUUACACUUAAAACUCUUCAACACUCAUCAAACUGGCAAAGAUGAAAACAAUCCGCCUUCAGCACUGGCGAGGGGGGAGCAGAGGCUCCCUGACACUCUUCACUCUGAUGCUGGCAGAGCCUUUCUGAAGGGCAAUUUACAACACGUGCCAAGACCUUAAAUACCUUUUUUUUUUUUUGAAGGAGAUUAGCCCUGAGCUAACAUCUGCUGCCAAUCCUCCUCUUUUUGCUGAGGAAGGCUGGCCCUGAGCUAACAUCCAUGCCCAUCUUCCUCUACUUUAUACUUGGGACGCCUACCACAGCAUGGCUUUUGCCAAGUGGUGCCAUGUCCACACCCGGGAUCUGAACUGGUGAACCCCGGGCCACCGAAACAGAACAUGCGAACUUAACUGCUACGCCACCGGGCCGGCCCAUUGAAUACCUUUUGAGCAAUUUCACUUUUAGGAAUCCCCCAAAGGAAAUAACAAACCACAU
rnacentral:lncRNA from 1 species